rnacentral:rRNA from 1 species
CCUACGGGUGGCUGCAGUGGGGAAUAUUGGACAAUGGGGGGAACCCUGAUCCAGCCAUGCCGCGUGUGUGAAGAAGGCCCUCGGGUUGUAAAGCACUUUCAGUGAGGAAGAACGCCUGGUGGUUAAUACCCAUCAGGAAAGACAUCACUCACAGAAGAAGCACCGGCUAACUCCGUGCCAGCAGCCGCGGUAAUACGGAGGGUGCGAGCGUUAAUCGGAAUUACUGGGCGCAAAGCGCGCGUAGGUGGCUUGAUAAGCCGGUUGUGAAAGCCCCGGGCUCAACCUGGGAACGGCAUCCGGAACUGUCAAGCUAGAGUGCAGGAGAGGAAGGUAGAAUUCCCGGUGUAGCGGUGAAAUGCGUAGAGAUCGGGAGGAAUACCAGUGGCGAAGGCGGCCUUCUGGACUGACACUGACACUGAGGUGCGAAAGCGUGGGUAGCAAACAGGAUUAGAUACCCCUGUAGUC